CUUGGAUUCUUGCUUUUACUUUGUGAUGAAGCACCUAGUAUAUAUGACCUCAGGAUCAAGAAAAAAGAUGCUGCAAUAUGUCAUAGCUUGCUUUGUUACUGCAGAUAUAGUGGUUGAGUCAGAAUCCUGGGAACUCACAUCAUACCCAGCCAUCAGGCACACCACAGCUGCUAAGGAUUUUAGUCACAUUGACUUUGACUCGUUCCAUGUACAGUAAAUUAUUCCUUCCAAAUCUAACACAGACAUUAGAAUUGCUUGUGUGUGUAAGCAUGGAAGAAAGGGUCGGCUAACAGAUUGGAAAACACAAAUUUAUUCCUUUGCCAUUUUAUGUAGUUCAUAAAAGAUAACUUUCCAUACUGUAUUAAGAGUGAGGCUACCAUCAGUUUAAUAAUAAAAGGCAAUUGCAC